UGGGUAACCUGCCUCAAAGAGGGGAAUAGCCUCCCGAAAGGGAGAUUAAUACCGCAUAAUAUGUUUAGGUCGCAUGACUUUAACAUCAAAGGAUUUCUUUUAGAAAUUCCACUUUGAGAUGGACCCGCGGCGCAUUAGCUAGUUGGUGAGGUAACGGCUCACCAAGGCAACGAUGCGUAGCCGACCUGAGAGGGUGAUCGGCCACAUUGGAACG
rnacentral:rRNA from 1 species